rnacentral:tRNA from 1 species
GCCGGGGUGGCCGAGCGGCCCAAGGCGCGGGACUUGAGAUGUCCACGGGAGAUCCCGUCCCCGUUCAGGGGGCGUGGGUUCAAAUCCCACCCCCGGCG